GCGCGCUUAGUGAUGGGAUGGCCCUGUGCAGGACGCCGACACGAAAAGAUGAAGAGUUCAAUCCGUGCUGUCUGAACUCACAGUGUAGCAGGCGAGAUAGACGGGAAGAUCGGUAGGGUGGGAGAUGCCGGAAAGGCUUCCCGUGAGACUGGAUAAGAAAUCAAAAAUCUGGUGAAAUUGCCGGCAAGAGGGAGUUAAGGACAUUCCAGGCAGAGGCAAGUCCAGAUUCCUAAGAUGAGGACACAGCAUCCUGGGCCACUGUCACUAAUACAAAUUUGCCUCUGGAGGGACUCUACGGAAGAUAAUUCCCCUGAAAUUUGGAGAGUUGAAUUAAGCUAGGACUGAUUCUGGCUGGAAUUUGUGGUGGCUACGUACCCUAGAGGGCCUCAAGGAAACCCACGGUUCAAGACAGCCCUGACAGAUUCUGGAGUCUAGAACAGAAAUGGAUUUGAACAUGGGCAAGGCCAACCACCCAGUUCACGGCCUGUGUACAGCAAAGAUUACGUUACAGCCUGAGAGCUAAGCCUGGAAGCUCUUUCAUCCAUCCGUUUGUCCAUCUAUCCAUCCAUCUGCUCAUCCAUCCCUCCAUCUGCUCAACAAACGUUAGAGAAUCAAUCCUUGUGUCAGAUACUGGGGCUGCCCUCAAGGAGCUUUUAUAGAGUUCAGGGUACAGCCAGGUGGGGGAGACAGAUCACUAUAAAAACCUACCACUAUAAUCCAAAGGACAAGAGCAAAAAUAGUAAAGAGGAGAGAAGACCCAAAUUUGCCUGGUGGGUCAGAGAGGGCUUUCUAGAAGAGGUAAAAAAUCUUCGGGGCUAUCACUUCACCUUGCCUGGUGGAUAAAGGGAGGACUUUCCAGAUACAGUGGACAGAAUGUGCAGAGGCAGGAGCCAUGAGUGGCAGAGGCAGGGGAGGGACUGCAGAGACAGGUUGGAGCCAAAGCACGUGGCACUGGAGCCAUAGCCAAAGGAACAAACUGUGAGACCUGGGACUUGAAUUUGGAGGUGGUGAAAAGUGACAAGGUCUUCACAGAAGAGUGAUUUUUUCAACUUAGGGAAGGCUGACCCCAGACCAAUGCUGCCAAAGUGUGGUCUGUGGGCUGUUAGCAGUUCGUGACGAUGUAAGUACAGGAAUUGAGAUUAAGCAUUUAGAACACCUACAGCACUUUGAUAGUCAUUUUACUUUUUAAAUUUUGAGCUGGCAUUUUAUAUGCCUGGUUUUUUUUUGUUUUUGUUUUUUUAUUUUUUUUGAGACAGUCUCGCUCUGUCGCCCAGGCUGGAGUGCAGUGGCGCGAUCUCUGCUCACUGCAAGCUCCGCCUCCCGGGUUCACGCCAUUCUCCUGCCUCAUCCUCCCAAGUAGCUGGGACUGCAGGCGCCUGCCGCCUCGCCCAGCUAAUUUUUUGUAUUUUUAAUAGAGACGGGGUUUCACCAUGUUAGCCAGGAUGGUCUCAAUCUCCUGAUCUCGUGAUCUGCCCGCCUUGGCCUCCCAAAAUGCUGGGAUUACAGGUGUGAGCCACCACGCCCAGCCUUAUUCUCUUUUUCUAAUAGUUGCACUUUAUCAUAUUUUACAAAUGUGUGAGUCUGCUAUGGAUUAGAAAUUAAUAAGAGAUUUUGCCACAGAUAGUUUGAGAAGCCCAGCACUGCCACUCAACAAAUGCUGGUGCAUUCAGAUGGUGAAAUAUUCUGCAGCUAUUAAAGGAGUUAAAACUGCCUCCACUUACCUGGAGGCCCAUCUGUGACACCUUUUUAGGUUAAAAGGAAAAGAAAAACUUGCUUAGGACUGAAUAUGAGCGGUUGCAAUUUGUAACAAUGAUGUAUAUAUACAUAUACAUUUUCAUGUAUUUGUAUGAACAUAAAAGUAUUGAAGGAUAUUCAUCAAACUGCUAAAAGGGUUGCUUCAGAGUAACGGACUCGGAGAAGGCAGAUUAAUUUUCUCUUAAUGGAACUCUGUAUUGUAUCACUUGUAAAAAUAAGCAUGUGUUAUCUUUAUGAUAAAAAAGUAAAAACCUAAAAAAGAAAA
rnacentral:lncRNA from 1 species